GAAAGGGUGAAAAUAUGUGGACAUGGCAUCUGCCCGGUAAGCAGAACGUUGUGGGUUCGAUUCCCGCCCCUGGACA